CAUUCCCAGCGCGAAGCAGCAUCACACACCGGCACUUGGAGCAACUGCGUGUGCCGGGCUGCAGACACUUUCAGAUCCCAACAGGAGAGCACUGGCGCGGGAUGAAUACCCCCUCUGGUUCCCCUGUUAAGUGGAACUAGUUGUUAUGUUAGAUUUCUCCCGGUUUUAAAUUCCUCCCCCGUCUAAGAGCUGCAGAGGAUGAGAAGACAGCCCGAGGCAGCUGGUACGGGGCUGCUACAGGACACACUACGCUGCGUGAUGCUGGUUAGAGUCCGAGUGGACCUGGCACCCUGCGGAGGGGAAAAGGAGGUGGUCUGUCCACUGAGCUUACCUGCUCCAAACGCGUCACCAUGUUAAAAAUACCUGCUUUUGGUGAAGCUGUCACUGGCAAACUGUACCGUGACCUGGACUGCUGAGCUCUUUAAGUGUUGUCUCUUCUGGAUUUCAGUCGCCUUUUGAAGGAUUUCAGCCCAACUUUAAGAGAUGGUCUGACUCCAAAGUGAUUUAUCACCAGCCUGGGUCAAGUUUGCUGCUGCACUUAUGAUGGCCAAUAAUAACGACUUACAGAAACGUAAACGAAGCUGCGGCUGAGCUGAUAAGCCAGCCCUGUCUGAGGGAGCCCUGUAGCUGCCUGCUCAUAAAUGCUUUAUUCCACUGGUUUCCUGUAGUUAUUAUCUAUGAGAGGGGAGCUGCUUCUUUCACCACAGAGACUCCUGACCAAAUGACUCUUUAUUGAUCACAGAGUGGAAGACUCUGCCCAUUUCUUUAAUGGUGCCUGGAGACUUCUGAGCUCAUUCCUGUAGAUUUCACCUAGCUGGUCAGAUCAGAUGGGCCUGCCUUGUUAACGUCACCUGUUGAUGACAUCAUAUACACAUGUACACAAUUUUUUGAAUAAAAGAUACAAAAUAAAACAUGUAUUCACUCAUGGGUAUUAGUACAGUGUAUGCCCCGCUGCCUGUGCUGCAGAUAAUAGGAUUAUAAAAGUGUGUUAUAUCUGACUUCUGUAACCUCUGUUAUUAUGUUAUUUAAGAUAUAAUUUUUGUUUGUAUUUGUUUUUUA